rnacentral:rRNA from 1 species
UACAGAGGUCUCAAGCGUUGUUCGGAUUCAUUGGGCGUAAAGGGUGCGUAGGCGGCGCGGUAAGUCGGAUGUGAAAUCUCGGAGCUUAACUUCGAAACUGCAUUCGAUACUGCCGUGCUUGAGGACUGGAGAGGAGACUGGAAUUUACGGUGGUAAGCGGUGAAAUGCGUAGAUAUCGUAAGGAAGACCAGUGGCGAAGG